AUACGGAGGAUCCGAGCGUUAUCCGGAUUUAUUGGGUUUAAAGGGUGCGCAGGCGGCCAUUUAAGUCAGCGGUUAAAUCUUGGGGCUCAACCCCAUUCUGCCGUUGAUACUGGGUGGCUUGAUUGCGGUCGAGGUUGGCGGAAUUCGUUGUGUAGCGGGGAAAUGCAUAGAUAUGACGAAGAACACCGAUUGCGUAGGCAGCUGACCAGACCGCAAAUGACGCUCAUGCACGAAAGUGCGGGGAUCGAACAGGAUUAGAUACCCUGGUAGUCCGCACAGUAAACGAUGAAUACUUGUUUUCGGCGAUAUAAUGUCGGAGGCAAAGCGAAAGCGAUAAGUAUUCCACCUGGGGAGUACGCCGGCAACGGUGAAACUCAAAUGAAUUGACGGGG
rnacentral:rRNA from 1 species